AGUUUGAUCCUGGUUUUCGAUUGAACGCUGGCGGCAUGCUUUACACAUGCAAGUGGAACGGUAACAGGUUAAGCUGACGAGUGGCGAACAGGUGAGUAAUGCAUCGGAACGUGCCCGGUCGUGGGGGAUAACGCAGCGAAAGCUGCGCUAAUACCACAUACGAUCUGAGGAUGAAAGCGGGCCCACCGUAAGGCCUCGCGCGAUCGGAGCGGCCGAUGUCAGAUUAUGUAGUUGGUGGGGUAAAGGCUCACCAAGCCGACGAUCUGUAGCUGGUCUGAGAGGAUGACCAGCCACACUGGGACUGAGACACGGUCCAGACUCCUACGGGAGGCAGCAGUGGGGAAUUUUGGACAAUGGGCGCAAGCCUGAUCCAGCAAUGCCGCGUGCAGGAAGAAGGCCUUCGGGUUGUAAACUGCUUUUGUACUGAACUAAAAGGUCUUCCCUAAUACUGGAGGCUGAUGACGGUUCCGUAAGAAUAAGCACCGGCUAAUCUACGUGCCAGCACCCGCGAUAAUACGUAGGGUGCGAGCGUUAAUCGGAAUUACUGGGCGUAAAGCGUGCGCAGGCGGUUUUGUAAGACAGGCGUGAAAUCCCCGGGCUCAACCUGGGAAUGGCGCUUGUGACUGCAAAGCUGGAUGCGCAGAGGGGGAUGGAAUUCCGCGUGUAUCAGUGAAAUGCGUAGAUAUGCGGAGGAACACCGAUGGCGAAGGCAAUCCCCUGGCCUGCACUGACGCUCAUCACGAAAGCGUGGGGAUCAAACAGGAUUAGAUC
rnacentral:rRNA from 1 species